rnacentral:rRNA from 1 species
AUGCAUCCGCCAAUGGGUGGAGUCGGGCGCUGGCGGCAGGUAUGGGGUCUCGGCCCAGUCGACGAGGAAGUCGGCCAGUGCUUGCGACUUGAUGGAGGUGCGGGGCUGGUAGUAGAUGGUGUAGGGGGCCAAUUCUAUGGCCCAUUUGGCCACUCGGCCAGAAGCAUCUCGGCUCCCAAUGAUCUCGGCCAGCGGGGCUGUGCAAACCACCGUAAUUGGAUGUUCUUGAAAGUAAGGCUUCAACUUCUUGGCGGCAAAGUGCAUGCCAUAGCACAUCUUCUGGUAGUGGGGGUAGUUCUGCUUGGAGGUCGACAGUACCUCGCUCAGGUAAUACACCGGUCUCUGGACAGGGAGCACCUUGCCUUCCUCCUUGCGCUCGACUACAAUCACUGUGCUGACUACCCUGCUGGUGGCGGCAAUGUACAGGAGCAUGGGCUCUUUAGGAGUCGGAGCCGCCAGCACAGGGGGAGUAGUCAACAUCUUCUUCAGCUGGUGAAAUGCUUCAUCCGCCUUGUGGUUCUACUCAAAAAAGGUGGUCUUCUUCAUCAGUUGGUACAAACGGAGAGCUUUCUCACCCAACCGACUAAUGAAUCGGCUGAUGGACGCCAAACAGCCGGUGAACUUCUGCACAUCUAA